rnacentral:rRNA from 1 species
UACGGAGGGUGCGAGCGUUAUUCGGAAUAAUUGGGCGUAAAGGGCACGCAGGCGGGCUUUUAAGUGAGAUGUGAAAUCCCCGGGCUUAACCUGGGAAUAGCAUUUCAGACUGGGAGUCUAGAGUACUUUAGAGAGGGGUAGAAUUCCACGUGUAGCGGUGAAAUGCGUAGAGAUGUGGAGGAAUACCGAAGGCGAAGGCAGCGCCUUGGGCCUGUACUGACGCUCAUGUGCGAAAGCGUGGGGAGCAAACAGG